GACGAGGGUCCCAAGCGUUGUUCGGAAUUAUUGGGCGUAAAGCGGGUGUAGGUGGAUCUAUAAGUCAGGAGUGAAGGCCCCGAGCUUAACUUGGGAAGUGCUUUUGAUACUGUAGAUCUUGAAUGUGGGAGAGGAUCGUGGAAUUCCAGGUGUAGUGGUGAAAUACGUAGAUAUCUGGAGGAACACCGGUGGCGAAGGCGGCGAUCUGGCCCAACAUUGACACUGAGACCCGAAAGUGCGGGGAUCAAACAGGAUUAGAAACCCCCGGUAGU
rnacentral:rRNA from 1 species